ACCCACCUGUGCUUUUGUGUAUGUCAGGGUGCCCCAGGGGGCCUUGAAGUCCUUCUGUGACCUGUGACAUGUGUCACAACCUCCACAGCCACCAUAUCCUAGCUGCUGCCAUUGCUCUUUGAAGGCAGAAGACUAUUUCAGAACCAGGCACACAGGACACAGCUUGGCCUGCGGCUCACUCUCCUUCAUGUAAAGGGUCUUGCAGGGCUUCAUGGAGAAGAGGAAACAGAAGAGAAGGGAACCUUGUAACACAGACGGGUUACAAGUGAAAACACAGGAUGGUGCACUACAGAAAAAUAAGCUUAACAUUAACAGUUUUUACACCGUUCACAGUGUGAACCCAGUGUUUGGAUGAGUCACUGGACUCUCUGAUGUGACAGUGGCUGUACAUUGGCCAAUUGUAAACAGGCAAUUAACAGAAACAAAUGACUAUCCAUCCUUGUAAUAGGUCUCCAAGUCAAAAGAAAAUCACAUCAUAUAUGCAUAUUAAGAGAUGAAAAUUGACUGGCAUACCACUGCAUUACAUGAGAUUCAGCAUUUGGUCAAGCAUUUUCAAGAGAUUUGGAAGACCAAAACCAAAAGAACCAUCAUGAGGACUUGUUUCUCUAAAGACAUCAUUUUGAAGAAUGCAGGAAGCAUCCUCUCCUUUGUU